rnacentral:rRNA from 1 species
AUUGAACGCUGGCGGCAGGCCUAACACAUGCAAGUCGCACGAGUGGCGGACGGGUGAGUACUGUCUGGGAAACUGCCUGGUGGAGGGGGAUAACUACUGGAAACGGUAGCUAAUACCGCAUCCCAUCGGAUGUGCCCAGAUGGGAUUAGCUAGUAGGGGGGGUAAAGGCUCACCUCGGCGACGAUCCCUAGCUGGUCUGGGAGGAUGCCCAGCCACACUGGAACUGGGACACGGUGCAGAGUCCUACGGGAGGCAGCAGUGGGCAAUCUGGCACAAUGGGCGCACGCCUGAUGGAGCCAGGCCGCGUUUACGAGGAAAGCCGUCGGGUUGUAACGUGCGUUCAGCGGGGAGGCGUUACCCGCUGAAGAAGCACCGGCUAACUCCGUGCCAGCCGCCGCGGUAAUUC